rnacentral:rRNA from 1 species
GACGUAGGGGCGAGCGUUGUCCGGAUUUAUUGGGCGUAAAGAGCUCGUAGGCGGCUCAGUAAGUCAGGUGUGAAAACUCCAGGCUCAACCUGGAGACGCCACCUGAUACUGCUGUGGCUAGAGUCCGGUAGGGGAGCAUGGAAUUCCUGGUGUAGCGGUGAAAUGCGCAGAUAUCAGGAGGAACACCAGUGGCGAAGGCGGUGCUCUGGGCCGGAACUGACGCUGAGGAGCGAAAGCAUGGGGAGCGAACAGG